GCGGCGAGCGAGCGGGAAGAGCUCAAAUUUAUAAUCUGGCACCUUCGGUGUCCGAGUUGUAAUCUCUAGAAAUGUUUUCCGCGUUGGACCGCACACAAGUCUGUUGGAAUACAGCGGCAUAGUGGUGAGACCCCCGUAUAUGGUGCGGACGCCCAGCGCUUUGUGAUACAUUUUCGAAGAGUCGAGUUGUUUGGGAAUGCAGCUCAAAUUGGGUGGUAAAUUCCAUCUAAAGCUAAAUAUUGGCGAGAGACCGAUAGCGAACAAGUACCGUGAGGGAAAGAUGAAAAGCACUUUGGAAAGAGAGUUAACAGUACGUGAAAUUGUUGGAAGGGAAACGCUUGAAGUCAGACUUGCUUGCCGAGCAAUCGGUUUGCAGGCCAGCAUCAGUUUUCCGGGAUGGAUAAUGGUAGAGAGAAGGUAGCAGUUUCGGCUGUGUUAUAGCUCUCUGCUGGAUACAUCUUGGGGGACUGAGGAACGCAGUGUGCCUUUGGCGGGGGUUUCGACCUCUUCACACUUAGGAUGCUGGUGGAAUGGCUUUAAACGACCCGUCUUGA
rnacentral:rRNA from 1 species